rnacentral:rRNA from 1 species
GCACGGAGUUAGCCGGAGCUUACAAACAGUACCGUCAUCAUAAGAGAUGUUAGCUCUUACUUAUUCUUCCCGUUCUUGCGAAGUUUACAUCCCGAGGGAUUUCAUCCUUCACGCGGCGUUGCUGGGUCAGGCUUUCGCCCAUUGCCCAAAAUUCCCGACUGCUGCCUCCCGUAGGAGUCUGACCCGUAUGUCAGUGUCAGUGUGGCCGACCGCCCUCUCAGGCCGGCUACGGAUCAUCGCCUUGGUAAGCCGUUACCUUACCAACUAGCUAAUCCGCCGCAGGCUCCUCUUCAGACGCGAGGUCUUACGAUCCCCCGCUUUAACAACUGUCACCAUUAGGUGCCGCUGCAUUAUGCGGUAUUAGCCGCCGUUUCCGGUGGUUAUUCCCCAUCCAAAGGUAGAUUACCUACGUGUUACUCACCCGUGCGCCACUCUACUUGCCCCCCGAAGGGGGCUUUCGCGUUCGACUUGCAUGUCUGAGGCACGCCGCCAGCGUUGAUU